rnacentral:lncRNA from 1 species
UUAAUUUUUCUUAACAAAAUAAGACAUGAAGAGAGUUUGAGUUGUCAAAAUAUAUUUUAAGUGCCUAUUACUAAAAACAUAGUAAGAUGCACAAUAUUCUUUUAUUUGUCAUAGGCUCUCAAAAGAGUUCCUAACAAUUGCACUCUCUAAUGCAUAAGAAUAAGUCAACUCUUUGAGGGUAUUUUGUAUUUUCAGGCUUUAAAAUUAUUGGUAAACCCAAUUUAGAGGAUGGGGAGAAACUGGAAGAAUAAGCCACAAGCCCAAAAGUGCUCCAAAAGUCAACCUCAAACCUUAAGUCUUGGAGAAUUACUGCCUCCUGGUCCUGUCUUACAGAUAAUGCUGCUACACUGGGUUUGCUUUUAUAGUCAGUAAUCAGUUUCCCUUUCACUCAGUAAGGGUCCCUGAUGAUUCAAAGUGCUCCAAAGAGCGUCUUCCACUUAUAAUCACUGAUGAAUUUUGUCAGCUAUUUAUCCAAAUUACAGGAAGUGAAAUCAGAAAGGUUGGACUGUAAGAAGUGUUUAAAAUUCAUAGAUUUGAGUCUGAUGAGUCCCAUUCAGGCAAGAGUGUGUCUAGAAAUUUACAUUGAUUAAAAUUUUUAGGACUUUACUAGAAGUUCUAAACACAGCAAUAAGACAAGAAAAAGAAAUAAAAUGUGUAUCAACUGGAAAGAAAGAAAUAAAAGUAUCCCCAUUUAUAGGUAACAUGAUGGUCUACAUAGAAAUUUUCAAAGAAUCUACUUUUUAAAAAUCAAAAAGCCCCUAGCACUAGUAGGUGCAGCAAGGUCUCAGAAUACAAGAUCAGCACCCAAAAUUUACUCACAUUUGAAUGUUCCAGUAAUGAGUAUGUGGCGACCAAAGCUAAAAACAUAAUACCAUUUCUUAGCACUCCAAAGAAGAUGAAAUGCAUGGCUAUAUAAGCUUAACUAAACAUGCACAAGAUUUGUAUGCUGGGAACUCUAAAAUGCCAAUGAAAGAAAUAAAAAUAUCUAAACAAAUGAGAGAUACCAUGUUCAUGGAUUGGAAGGCACAAAAUAGUAAAGAUGUCUAUUCUCCCCAAACUGAUCUCUUAAUUUAAUGCAAUUUCUAUCAAACCCACAGCAAGGUUUUGCAGACAAAUAGAUGCUUAUUGUAAAAAUUAUAUUUAAAGGUUUGGGGCCGGGGAUCUAGCUCAGUGAUUCCACUGCCUGCCUUGCAGGCGCAAGGUCCUGAGUUCAAUCCCCAAUACCAAAAAAUAAAAACUAAAUAUAUUUCAAGGUUUGCAGGAUUUUGAAGAGUUAAAACAAUCUUGAAGGAGAAAUCAUUCCACCCAAUAGAAAGAUUUAUUAAAGAGCGACAACAUUCAAGACAAUGUUAUUAGUGGAUGCAUAAACAUGCAUUUAUAAAGCAGAAGCUGGGCAUGGUGGUGUACGCCUGUAAUCCCAGCACUCAGGAGGCUGAGGCAGGAGGAUUGCUUCAUGUUCAAGGCCAGUCUGAACUAUAUAGUGAGACCCUGUCUCAAGAAACAAACAAACAACAGCAACAAAAAACUGGACACAACCAAAUGUCUAUUAAUCUGGUGACUGGUAAAACACAUUGUGGUACAUCCAUGUCAUGGAAUACUACUCAGUCAUAAAAAGAAGCUAAUUGCUGAUACAGACAACAGCUUGGAUGCAUCUCCAAAGACCUGAGCUAAGUGAGGAAAGCUAACCCUAAAAGUUCACACGUUGUAUGACUCCAGUUAUGUAAUGUUUGAAAUGCAAAAUGAUAGAAAUGGAAAAUAAAUUAGAGAUUGACAAGGAGGAGGCUAGAGAACAAGAGAGAUAGUUUUGACUAUAAAAGGGUAACCCAAAAGAUCCUGGUAAUGAUGGAAAUAUUUGGUAUAACUGAACAAAUCAGUAUAAAAUUCUACUUGCAAAACUGUACUUUAGCAAGAUGCUACCUUGGGGAGAAACUGACUAAAAGGUACAGGGAGGGAGGGUGAUAUUGUUUCGGGGUUUUUUGGUACCAGGAAUUGAACUCAGUACCUUGUGCUUGCCAGGCAGGUGUGGUGCCACUGAAUUAAAUCCUCAGCCCUAUAUUGUUUCUUAAAACUGCAUGUGAAUCUAUAAUGAUCUACCACUAUCUCAGAAUCUACAGUUAUCUCAGAAGGAAAGGUUUAAUAUAAACAAGACUUAAGGUUUCGCUUAAAUAAGACAUUCAGUCUCUUUCCUCUCUCUCUCUCUUUCUCUCUCUCUCUCUCUCUCUCUCUCUCUCUCUCUCUUUCUCUCUCUCUCAUUGGUCCCUACAGAAAUGAAGAACUGCAGAAAACAGACAUUUCUUCUGUUAUCCAUGUAUAUAUACAUUUGUGGAACAGAUGUAAGAUUUCUGUUAAAGUUUUCUAAAUGUAUUUGAUUUAGUGUUGAGUGCCAAGUAGUCAGAAUUCAACAGGGGGUGAGGGUGUAGUUCAUCGGUUGUGUGCUUGCCUACCAUAUGUGAGGUCCUGGGUUCCAUCCCCAGCAUCACAUAAAAGAACUGGACAAAUCUGCCCUAUAUAUUUUACAUGGCACCCUUAGGAGAGGCAGAUGUCUUCAUCUGAUGUAGACAUGUUGAGUGAGCUUUAGGUGUAUAUAAGUAUCCAUGUCUUUAUAUAGUGAUUCUCCACUGAAGUUUAUACAAAGAACUAUAUUUCCAGUAAUCUUCCUCUAAGUAUUCUGGGAAACAGUUCUUUGUUUUCUGUGAAUAAACUAAUUACAGUAUAUCCAGCCCCCUAUGUCUUUAUUUACCGAGAAUGAACAUGUUUGUGAGACCAGUGUGUAGCUAAUUCUGCUGAUGCUUAUUUCCAGACACCUUGUUUCACAUUGAUUCCUUGUAACAGAGUUGUUUGGGAAUUGAAAUGUACUUCUAGUCUUUCCAAAAAGUCUGUAUUUCAUUCUUAGUACCUUAACUGUCAAACACUGUUUUAAACAAUUUAUUGACACUUAUUUGAUUGCUAUCUCAAGUCAAUUAUGAAAACUUUGAAUUGCAAUGACGUUACUGUUUGUACUAUGUAAUUCAUGCGUGUAGAGUUUAAAAUCUGUUUUCAGAACUAGAUAUGUCUCU